GGGAAUGUGGCUUAGUGGUAGAGCGCUUGCCUAGCAUGCAUGAAGCCCCCUGGGUUCGAUUCCUCAGUACCA
rnacentral:tRNA from 1 species